UACGUAGGGGGCGAGCGUUGUCCGGAAUCAUUGGGCGUAAAGCGCGUGUAGGCGGCUCGAUAAGUCCGGUGUGAAAGUCCAGGGCUCAACCCUGGGAUGCCGGUGGAUACUGUCGGGCUCGAGUCCGGAAGAGGAGUGUGGAAUUCCUGGUGUAGCGGCGAAAUGCGCAGAUAUCAGGAGGAACACCAAUGGCGAAGGCAGCACUCUGGGACGUGACUGACGCUGAGACGCGAAAGCGUGGGGAGCAAACAGG
rnacentral:rRNA from 1 species